GCAGUCAGUGCUCUUACCCGCUGAGCCAUCUCUCCAGCCCAAAUUUGACUGUAUUUAAAACAUUUUAAUUGCAUUUGAUAGAUUUAUCUUUUGUGAAUAUGUGUAGAGGUCAGAAGACAAUUUGUGGAAAUCAACUCCCUCUAUCACAUGGGUCCACAGAUCUCGGUAGCAAGCCCCUUUACCCACUAAGCCUUCUUGUCUUUCCCUUGGCUGUUUUAAUGAUAGGAACAAGGAAGACUGGAUCCUAAAGAACAUUACCAAUUUGCUAAAUGCUAAAUGACACCUUCCUUUGUUUUUGUCAUCGCAGCUCUUAAACACAUCCAAAUCUUCGGAUUCCAAAGAUGCCCUCAUUUCUUUCACAAAACCCGCAUCCCAAGUGCUCCCUUCCCCUAACUGGUGCUCUAGAAUUUGCAUGAGUUCUCAUGCCAUGCCUGAGUUGUCCACUGGAGGGCGCUGUUUGAGAUAUGGGAUCCUGUUGAAGGAGAAACAUUCAUAAUGUCUACUAGAGGGCACUGCUUGGGACUUUAAAGGCCAUUAGAGAAGGCGCAUCUAGAGUGGAAGUCUUUGAGGGCACUGUGAAGUGGGAGAGGUGUAGGACAAGGGGUCCUAAACAGGGAAUUUCUGCUCUGGGUACUGGUUCCUGACCUAGGUUCUUCCAGUGCAGGACCAGAGGGCUCGGUUCUGGUCAGCUUAAUCUUAGGUUUGUUCGACUGGGUCUCUGAAAUAGCCAUUGAGUGACUCCACUGAAUCUAGGUUGUAGCUCUUCAAGAGUGGGGAACCCGAGGCUAGGCAAAGCACGUUCCUUUUUCUUUUUUUUCUUUUCUUUCUUUCUUUCUUUCUUUCUUUCUUUCUUUCUUUCUUUCUUUCUUUUUUAAUAUUUAUUUAUUUGUUAUAUGUAAGUACACUGUAGCUGUCUUCAGAAGAAGACAGCAUCAGAAGAGGGCAUCAGAUUUUGUUACGGAUGGUUGUGAGCCAACUCAGAACCUUUGGAAGAGCAGUCGGUGCUCUUAACCUCUGAGCCAUUUCACCAGCCCCACAUUCCUUUUCCUGCUCAUUGUUUUCUAUGUCCCUUACUUAAGAUUGUCCUAAAAUUCAAGGGUAGGGGCGUGGCUUAGUGGUAGAGCCCCUGCCUAGAAUCCCCCAGGGAGGGGCUGGGGGCGUGGCUCAGUGGUAGAGCCUCUGCCUAGAAUCCCCCAGUGGGGGGCUGGGGGCGUGGCUCAGUGGUAGAGCUCCUGCCUAGAAUCCCCCAGGGAGGGGCUGGGGGCGUGGCUCAGUGGUAGAGCCCCUGCCUAGAAUCCCCCAGGGAGGGGCUGGGGGCGUGGCUCAGUGGUAGAGCCCCUGCCUAGAAUCCCCCAGGGAGGGACUGGGGGCGUGGCUCAGUGGUAGAGCCCCUGCCUAGAAUCACCCAGGGAGGGGCUGGGGGCGUGGCUCAGUGGUAGAGGAUGUUGGUUUAGGAUGUGGAAAAUCCUGGGCUUCUACCCCCGCCCAGCACAGGGGAAGUCAAGGAAGACAAUGUCCCAUUAUUUCAGGAGCAGCCUUAGCCUUGGAUUACACUUUUGAAACCUGGAUGGCUGAGGGGUACUGCCUUUAUAGAACGGUGGGAAUAUCACUUUGGAAUAUCUUUUUAUCUUAAAAUAUUACAUCUUGAUAUUUAUUUAAAGUCUGUCUCUCUUUCUUUCUCUGUGUGUGUUCACAAGUGUACCAUGUCACAUGUGUGGUGGUCAGGGGAUACGUUUUGGGAGUGGUUUCCCUCUUUCUACCAUGUGGGUUCGGGGGGUAUGGAACUUGGGUCAUCAGGUCUGAUGCACCUUUGAGCUAUAACUUCAGUGACUGCGAAUAUUUGCCAUUGUACCCAGGAGAGGUGAGAGAGUACCAUUAGUGAGUUAACACAGACUCAGACGGCUCUCAGAGGCUGAGCAAAUUCUUCCCCUGCUGUAGCUUCCGUUUGUCCAUGGCCCAGGUCUUCUCUGAAGCUGUACUCUUCUCUGGCUCUGCUGACACCUUUCCUAGCAAGGAAGUGGUAUAAAAUGCUUGCUGAUGGGCACCUGCCCCAGGACUUCCCACUCACCAUUGUUGUUGAGCUCUUGGGGUUUCCAAGAUACCUGUGGCUCUCAAGCCCUCCCUUCUGUCCCUGCCCCCUGCAGAGAAUGAUCUGGAAGGAUUCUCUGUUUUGGAAUCUUUGAGAGCUGUUCUACUUUCAUUUCUGUUGCUCUGAUGAAACAACCUACGAAAAAACCAGCUUAAUAGAGAAGAGAUUAUUUUAGCUCUACCACUUGAGGUUACUAUCUGUGACUAUGGGGUUGUCAUAGGAGGGCACAGCUAAUCACAUCACAUCCAUGGUCAGUCAAGAGCAGAGAUACAGGGAUGCAUGUAGUUUACUUGGUUGCCCUGCUAGAUUUCUCCACUCUUAUGUAGCUUAGGGAAUGGUGCCACCCAUGGUGGGCAAAGUCUUUCCACAUCAAUUGCCUUAAGAAAAUCCCACAGAGAUGCUGGACAGCUAAAUGUAAGUAAUCCCUCCCUCACAGAGAUUAUUUUUCCAAGUGAGUCUAGGUUGUGUCAAGUUGAUAGUUAAAGUUAGCCAUCCUAAAAGUCACGGGGUCCUAGGAAACAAGGAAAGGUCCUCAGAAAACGCACUUAUCCCCAGUUCUUCCCCCAGAGCUGGAUAUCUUGUACCUGCAUCCCUCCCUAAGAUGCCGAAGACACUCUUAGUCUACAGGUUCAACACCGUGAACCACCCCUUCCUACCAACGAGGCUCAAGAGAACCAGAGAAGUAGAGAGACAUAUAGGUAGCGUCAAAAUGAGGAAAGAGGCUGUCAUAGUUUUUACCAGCUUGACACAUAACUGGGUGGGGAACUCAGUAGAGGAACUGCCACCAUUAGAUUGAUCCAUGGGCACAUCUGUGGGGUAUUUUCUUAAUUGCCAACGGAUGUAGGAGGGUCUAGCCCACUGUGGAUGGUGCCAUCUUUGCAUAGAUAGGCCUGAGCGGUGUAAGAAAAGCAAUCUGUGGAAGCUAAGCCCGAAUGCCAGAAAACAGUGUUCCUCCACGAUCUGUGCUUCUGUUUCUGCCUCCAGGUUCCUUCAUUGGUUUCCCUGGAUGAUGGGCUGUAACCUCUAACCAAGUAAGGCUUUCCUCACCACAGUUGCUUUUGGUCAGUGUUUUUAUCACGUUUGCUGUUGUGUUUGGACAUAUGUGAGUGGGCGGCGUGUGGAUGCCAG
rnacentral:lncRNA from 1 species